rnacentral:rRNA from 1 species
GUAGGGUGCGAGCGUUAAUCGGAAUUACUGGGCGUAAAGCGUGCGCAGGCGGUUCGUCAAGUCUGAUGUGAAAUCCCCGGGCUCAACCUGGGAACUGCAUUGGAUACUAGCGAGCUUGAGUGUGGCAGAGGGGGGUGGAAUUCCACGUGUAGCAGUGAAAUGCGUAGAGAUGUGGAGGAACACCGAUGGCGAAGGCAGCCCCCUGGGCUAACACUGACGCUCAGGCACGAAAGCGUGGGGAGCAAACAGGAUUAGAUACCCUGGUAGUCCACGCCCUAAACGAUGUCAACUGGGUGUUGGGGGAGCGAUUCCUCAGUACCGUAGCUAACGCGUGAAGUUGACCGCCUGGGGAGUACGGCCGCAAGGUUA